rnacentral:rRNA from 1 species
CCUACGGGAGGCAGCAGUGAGGAAUAUUGGUCAAUGGCCGGAAGGCUGAACCAGCCAUGCCGCGUGAAGGUCAGUGCCCUAUGGGCGUUAAACUUCUUUUGUGCGGGAGCAAUAAUGGUCACGUGUGGCCAGACGAGAGUACCGUACGAAUAAGCAUCGGCUAACUCCGUGCCAGCAGCCGCGGUAAUACGGGGGAUGCAAGCGUUAUCCGGGUUUAUUGGGGUUAAAGGGUGCGUAGGCUGUGAGGUAAGUCAGCGGUGAAAUGCCCCCGCUCAACGGGGUGAAGUGCCAUUGAUACUGCCUUGCUGGAAUGCGGAUGACGUAGGAGGAAUGUGUGGUGUAGCGGUGAAAUGCAUAGAUAUCACACAGAACACCGAUUGCGAAGGCAUCUCACGAAUCCGCGAUUGACGCUGAUGCACGAAAGCGUGGGUAUCAAACAGGAUUAGAUACUCUAGUAGUC